UAGCACAGGUGCUGCAUGGCCGUCGUCAGCUCGUGCCGUGAGGUGUUGGGUUAAGUCCCGCAACGAGCGCAACCCCCGCCGUUAGUUGCCAGCGGUUCGGCCGGGCACUCUAACGGGACUGCCCGCGAAAGCGGGAGGAAGGAGGGGACGACGUCUGGUCAGCAUGGCCCUUACGGCCUGGGCGACACACGUGCUACAAUGCCCACUACAAAGCGAUGCCACCCGGCAACGGGAGCUAAUCGCAAAAAGGUGGGCCCAGUUCGGAUUGGGGUCUGCAACCCGACCCCAUGAAGCCGGAAUCGCUAGUAAUCGCGGAUCAGCCAUGCCGCGGUGAAUACGUUCCCGGGCCUU
rnacentral:rRNA from 1 species